CAAUAGCGUAUAUUUAAGUUGCUGCAGUUAAAAAGCUCGUAGUUGGAUUUCGGGUGGGAAUGGCCGGUCCGCCGUUUCGGUGUGCACUUGCUACGCCCACCUUGCUGCCGGGGACGUGCUCUUGAGUUCACGCUCGGGACACGGAGUCGGCGAGGUUACUUUGAGUAAAUUAGAGUGUUCAAAGCAGGCCUACGCUCUGAAUACAUUAGCAUGGAAUAACACGAUAGGACUCUGGCCUAUCUUGUUGGUCUGUAGGACCGGAGUAAUGAUUAAGAGGGACAGUCGGGGGCAUUCGUAUUUCGUUGUCAGAGGUGAAAUUCUUGGAUUUAUGAAAGACGAACUACUGCGAAAGCAUUUGCCAAGGAUGUUUUCAUUAA
rnacentral:rRNA from 1 species